rnacentral:rRNA from 1 species
UACGAAGGGGGGCUAGCGUUGUUCGGAAUUACUGGGCGUAAAGCGCACGUAGGCGGAUUUGUAAGUCAGGGGUGAAAUCCUGGAGCUCAACUCCAGAACUGCCUUUGAUACUGAGGAGCUUGAGUCCGGGGAGAGGUGAGUGGAACUGCGAGUGUAGAGGUGAAAUUCGUAGAUAUUCGCAAGAACACCAGUGGCGAAGGCG